CCGUGCUUUCUCUGUUAUAAAUAUAUGACGUGGAAGUUGCAAAGUACUUCUUGCUUUUUCUUCGAGUUCUCAUCACCUAGGUAAUGACACUUCCCGCUUAAUUUUUCCCUGCCUCGGGCACCUUUACUCGGGGUUGGCGGCUUCCCCUCCACGCCCUUCCCAACUUAAUUAAUUUCUGGGUUGUGUGCUGCUGUUUGAAUCACCCUCAAGCUAUUAAUUUGCUUUGUUUCCAGAGCCAACAGUCACAUGCUCGCCACAGUAUAUCAUUGCUGAAUUCAAAAGAAGCAAUUAUCCGGAUCUUGAAUCCUCAGAGAUGCAUCUAACAGAUACAAGUUGCUCGGCCGAGUCCGAAAACGACACUUACAUAACCUUCCACAUUCCUUUCCGAAAUUGCUCUACUGUCAGGGUACAGACACCUGACCACCUGGAGUACAGAAAUGAGGUUAUGCGUCGUAUAACGCAGGGGGUAAUUACGUACAAAAUGGAUAUGAAUUUUCCCAUCACCUGCAGGUAUGACCGGAAUGUUACGUUGAACGACUUGGAUAUUGAAGUCGAAGAAGAGGAAGAAGAAACUGAAGAACCAACCGAUUCAGGUGCCCGACUUCAACCUUGUCACUGGUUACUGGUUACUCUGUGGCUAUCUGGAGCUUUUCUCUACCGGGCAUCGAUUGCUGGACGCGGGCAGUUCUGAUGAUCAGUUCAGCAGUUCUUGUAAUGAUCGAGUUUUCAGGUGGCAUCUCCGGAAAAGUUUGGAAAUUCCUGGAAUUGGCAAGAAAUAUCUGAGAUGUCUUAUAAUGUAGCUGAUUUGAUAGGAUUAUUCACAAAACUUAGCAAAAUCUAGAACAGUUUUUUUAAAUCGUAAGUGUCUUAUGGCAUAUGUAGGUCUGUAAAAAAUUAGGCAUUAUUGACAGCGAAAUGAAGCAUCAAAGUAGAUACAAGCCGAGGGAGGGGAGAGGGCGGAGAGAGUGAAAAGUGAUCAAGUCUAUGCUUAUACGCUCUCGUAGUUUCCGUGCAACAAUAUCCAGUUUCAUAACGGCAGACCAUAAUAGCAAGGUUCGUUUUCAGACCACAGCAGCUGCAAUACUAUAUUCCUCGGUUUGGCAUAUAUACCAGUAUGGUUUUUACAGGACAAUAGAAGACGAAUCCUCUCGGGGUUAUUUGCACUCCCUUGGCGCUUAUUCGAAUUUAAGAUAUCUCAGCCCUUUUCACAACUAACGUUUCUCAUUAACAUUGCAAUGUAAUUGCAAAGAAGAUGAGAUGAAAUUUACAAACUGCUCGAAAUUGCCUCACGAGCAAGCUGGGAGUUCUAUUGUAAUGUAAUAUUGGAAUAUAGAUAAGAGAAGUUAACCGUUAAAAUGGCUAAAGGGUGCUUUCAUUCAAAUGGCCAUCAGCCAUGCAAAUUUAUUGGGAAAAAAUCACUCUCUAUUUUCCAAUUGCCCGUAA
rnacentral:lncRNA from 1 species